rnacentral:rRNA from 1 species
UUGGAUCCAGACUUUUGAUUAUUGGCUCAGGAAUGAAACGCUAGCUACAGGCUUAACACAUUGCAAGUCGAGGGGAAACGACAUCGAAAGCUUGCUUUUGAUGGGCGUCGACCGGCGCACGGGUGAGUAACGCGUAUCCAACCUGCCCACCACUUGGGGAUAACCUUGCGAAAGUAAGACUAAUACCCAAUGAUAUCUCUAGAAGACAUCUGAAAGAGAUUAAAGAUUUAUCGGUGAUGGAUGGGGAUGCGUCUGAUUAGCUUGUUGGCGGGGUAACGGCCCACCAAGGCAACGAUCAGUAGGGGUUCUGAGAGGAAGGUCCCCCACAUUGGAACUGAGACACGGUCCAAACUCCUACGGGAGGCAGCAGUGAGGAAUAUUGGUCAAUGGACGAGAGUCUGAACCAGCCAAGUAGCGUGCAGGAUGACGGCCCUAUGGGUUGUAAACUGCUUUUAUAAGGGAAUAAAGUGAGUCUCGUGAGACUUUUUGCAUGUACCUUAUGAAUAAGGACCGGCUAAUUCCGUGCCAGCAGCCGCGGUAAUACGGAAGGUCCGGGCGUUAUCCGGAUUUAUUGGGUUUAAAGGGAGCGUAGGCCGGAGAUUAAGCGUGUUGUGAAAUGUAGACGCUCAACGUCUGCACUGCAGCGCGAACUGGUUUCCUUGAGUACGCACAAAGUGGGCGGAAUUCGUGGUGUAGCGGUGAAAUGCUUAGAUAUCACGAAGAACUCCGAUUGCGAAGGCAGCUCACUGGAGCGCAACUGACGCUGAAGCUCGAAAGUGCGGGUAUCGAACAGGAUUAGAUACCCUGGUAGUCCGCACGGUAAACGAUGGAUGCCCGCUGUUGGUCUGAAUAGGUCAGCGGCCAAGCGAAAGCAUUAAGCAUCCCACCUGGGGAGUACGCCGGCAACGGUGCAACUCAAAUGAAAUUGACGGAAUCCCGCGGCCAAUGGCGGCCG